GAAGACUACUUUUCUGUGUGUUUGGCUCCUCCAGAAAGCACUGCUCAGGGCAGGUGCUCUCACGGUAAUGGAAUGAACUGUUAAUUACCGAAUGCUGAUCUGCUGGAGAGCUCUGCAAGCGGAAAAUUUCCCAGCAUUGGGCAGUGCUGGCCAUAGCUAUCAUGAAUGUGCACUGCAUUAAUUGUAGCCAGAGAAGAAGAGUAUUUUUUGUGGAUUAGGAACAGAUCCACUUGUCAGUCAAUCUGAUGUUCACUGGGCUGUUCGAGGCUAAGUUCGAGUCACUGUGCUACGCUGCUGCCAAGGACCACGGAGGGCUCUCAUCCCCUCAAGGAAUGUAGAGGAUUGCAGGUGUCGGAAUAACAGAAAUGCAAAGCGUGAAGCCGGUAAGAGAGGUGGAAUGCAACCCGACAAGAAUGCAGGAGAGAGAAGACCCAUCUGCUUUGAGGAGGGGCGCACCAGGCUGGGGAAAGGUCACACAUAGACUCAUGCAGGCAGAGGUGGGGAAGAGGCAAAGAGAAAUUCUAGGCAUGGAGAAGAGGAUAAGCAAGACUAAAGAGGUCAUCUAGUGCCAAGCACAUCUCAUUUUAAGGAGCAUGUAGGUGCCCCGGAAUGGUCACUGCUUGACAUCCUGGUCGCUGUCUCCUGAAGGGCUGGGUCUAGGAAGGUGACAGCUGAGAGAUAAUGAAUCCUUCUCUCAUCCCGGCCACUGAGAAGAUAGACAAGUAGGAGCAAGAAGGGUGAGCUGGGCCAAAAAGUGAAGCUUUUAGCAUCUGUCACCUGUCACAUGCCCAUACAACGUGCAAUUGUAUUUUCUGUAGAUUCUUGUGGAAUAAUCAGUAUUUUCGCAUUGCUAAGUAAUAAA